CUUGGUCAUUUAGAGGAAGUAAAAGUCGUAACAAGGUUUCCGUAGGUGAACCUGCGGAAGGAUCAUUAUGAAUUAAUAAUAUUUGUGAAUUUACCACAACAAACAUCAAUCAUACAAUCAAUAAUUAAAAAAUUAAAACUUUUAACAAUGGAUCUCUUGGUUCUCGUAUCGAUGAAGAACGCAGCGAAACGCGAUAUUUCUUGUGAAUUGCAGAAGUGAAUCAUCAGUUUUUGAACGCACAUUGCACUUUGGGGUAUCCCCCAAAGUAUACUUGUUUGAGCGUUGUUUCUCUCUUGGAAUUGCUUUGCUCUUCUAAAAUUUCGAAUCAAAUUCGUUUGAAAAACAACACUAUUCAACCUCAGAUCAAGUAGGAUUACCCGCUGAACUUAAGCAUAUCAAUAAGCGGAGGAAAAGAAACUAACAAGGAUUCCCCUAGUAACGGCGAGUGAAGCGGGAAAAGCUCAAAUUUAAAAUCUGACUGUCUACGACUGUCCGAGUUGUAAUCUAGAGAGGUGUUUUCCGUGCCGGACCGUGUAAAAGUCCCUUGGAACAGGGCGUCAUAGAGGGUGAGAAUCCCGUCCAUGACACGGACUACCGGUGCUCUGUGAUACACCUUCAAAGAGUCGAGUUGUUUGGGAAU
rnacentral:sRNA from 1 species